ACCUGCAUGGCGUAGUGGUUGAGUGUUGGACUAAAACUUUGGAGAUCAAGGUUCGAAUCCCUGCUCAGCUA
rnacentral:tRNA from 1 species